CUGAGAUUAAUCGAUGUCGAUCUGUCGAUUGACAAUACGUCGCUUCUUAGAGUUGCGGUUCCCAGAGGCCGCAUUCGCGAGUCCUCGCGAAUGAACGGGCAAACUCGACGAGGCACUGGAUUAAUCGUUACGCCGGCGGCUAUUUGAGGCAGCGACCACGAAGAGAUAGUGUCAGGUGUCGUUGAUGACGAGUACGGUCCUGGAGUUCGUUUCGUCCUUAUACGCACACACGAAAGACGGCAAGCGGUAUGGGGGCAUGGCAUAACAAAGAUUCAUCGGGACCGGUUUCGUGUGCCGCCCUUUUUUACAUUCUCCGAAGAGGCCCCGUCGAGCUGCGGGUGUGAAAACCGACACCCACCCACUUGUUAUUUUGUCAAACACAAGCCCAGGAAAUUAUAGGAAUCAUACGCUAACGUGUGUCUCCUGAAACGCUUCUCGCGAGAACGUUUUGGACACGUUUUCUUCACCGUACUUUGGAACACAACCGAUUUUCAAUGGAAGAAUAUACUUCUAAUUUUCAUAAAACCAGACAUACCCCAAACAAUUCUAAAAGAUGUUUUAAAGACAGAUUGGAUGUCGGAUGUAUCUUGAAAUGUUUCGAAAAAAGGAUAUUUGUUCUGCAAACGAAUGUACAUUAAUAUAUAAUAUGAUAUGUGCAAUCACAGUCGAGUUAGCACUUAGUAUCGACAUAAAAAGUAUCUAUUAAUUAGAUCAAAUGAUCGCAUUGUCUUUCAUAAGAGCACGUCGAUAGUUAGUCGCGAAUAUCCAUCCGCGAGUGUUU